CAGACUAUGGCGCCUUACUCAACAUUGGGAAGGGGGGUUCCAACUCUUUUAAGGUCUCAUCUUCAGCACUUCUAAACUGUGGGAAACUAUGUGAAAACAAAUGGAGUGGCCAAACACACCAUUCAUCACUGUGCUUCUGGACAGCUGCAAGUCCAUACGUGUUCUGAUAAUUCAAUACAAGAAAGAAGAUUUGCUUGGGAAGGUCUGAAUGGCCCUAGCUUUGUUUGUUAACCAUAACCUCUACCAGCUGGAAACACAAUGCCCCACUAAUACUAACAGUGCCUGCUUGUCCAAACAGCAUUCUGGCCACUUACAGCAAUUGACACAAAUUCUAACAGGUAGAUGGGGCAAAGCAUUACCUUGUGUAAAACUGCUGCUAAAAUAUAUUCCUAGUGAGAAAGGUCAACUUGUGGGCUAAAGUCCUUGUCACCUCCUGAUCAGUUUUCACUUAGGGCACAGCAGUCUGCCAUUCACCAUUGGGAUCUCUGUGUGUUUCUUCUCUCUUAUGAAAGGACAUAUUGAGCGCUCUAGGACUUGGCUGCCUACAUCAAGUAGAGGGGGACCCUCAUGAUUCACUAAGGGGCCUCAGUUCUGAAUAUUUCUCAUUAUUCAAAAAUGCAAAGCCAUUGUCAUUACGUGGCAGUUUAUUGGAACCAAGGGAGGAAUUGGUCCCUUUUCAUGUUCUUCUCCUAAAUAGAGAAAAGGUAAUUAAAACUUGGAGCUUAAU
ensembl:lncRNA SYT9-AS1 SYT9 antisense RNA 1